AAGGAAUGGUGUGCUUCUUAUAUGUUAAGCAACUAGUAGCCAUUAGUCCCUUAGCUAUGUAAUGGAACAAGUAUAAAAUAAAGAACGAAAUGUAGAUCACAAAAAAUGACAAUUUAGAUUGAUGCGUAGGGAUCCGAUCAAAUCCUGAUGGAUGUAAUUGGUAGGUGUAUCUUCCUAUACUACCCCCAAUUUGUCAGCUACGCUCUACAAUCGGUCAAGUUUCUUUAUGCAACG
rnacentral:lncRNA from 1 species